GUACCAGGUCAGCCAGCCGCCCGGGAUAUGAAAAGUGUGCAUCGGGCAGAUUUUUUACGGGGGAAAAUUUGUAUUGGUACUCUACAACUGAUAGUAAAUACAAUCUCAAUCCGGACAUGGCAUUAGAGUCUUGGUUUAGCGAGCAUAUUAACUUUACCCAUGGUCCACUUCGGAAAAGUCACUUCGAUAAGUCGAAAAGUCAUAAGAUUGGCCAUUACACUCAGAUGGCAUGGUCUAACAGCGUCUACAUCGGCUGCGCGAUAUUGCAAACAAAGAAAGGCGAAUGGAACAACUUUUAUGUAGUCUGCAACUAUGGACCAAAGUAUGUUUCUAUUAAUUUAUAUUUAUUAAAUUUACGGGUAAAUUUAGUUGAACUUAACUUCAUUAAAAGUUCAUGAGAUUUAUUCGUCUGCUGGGCAUGUAAUAAGACGCCAAGGUAUUUUCUGCAUCCUUAUAUUGGGAAAGUUUGUUCAGCGCCAUAAGCUCUUUCUAAUGCCUUACGAAAAGUGUUGCUUUGCUUGAGCUGGUCACGGAAGACAACUAUUCAACCGUUAGAAUUUUUAGAUGACACUUGCCAAAAAGUGGCUAUUGUUAAAGUGGUGGCAAAACAAAACAUGCAGUAUGGAUACACUCGUAGAGUUAGUAACACUAAUAUAAUUGGGUUUGAUGCAUUGUAGGCUAUCAAAGUUGUGGAGAAACGACUUAAUGUAACUUAUUAAGUAGGUAUUUCAUA